rnacentral:rRNA from 4 species
CAGUGAUAAACUGGAGGAAGGUGGGGAUGACGUCAAGUCAUCAUGGCCCUUACGACCAGGGCUACACACGUGCUACAAUGGCGCAUACAAAGAGAAGCGACCUCGCGAGAGCAAGCGGACCUCAUAAAGUGCGUCGUAGUCCGGAUUGGAGUCUGCAACUCGACUCCAUGAAGUCGGAAUCGCUAGUAAUCGUGGAUCAGAAUGCCACGGUGAAUACGUUCCCGGGCCUUGUACACACCGCCCGUCACACCAUGGGAGUGGGUUGCAAAAGAAGUAGGUAGCUUAACCUUCGGGAGGGCGCUUACCACUUUGUGAUUCAUGACUGGGGUGAAGUCGUAACAAGGUAACCGUAG